AACGGCCCACCAAAGCGACGAUCGAUAGCCGAUCUGAGAGGAUGACCGGCCACAUUGGGACUGAGACACGGCCCAAACUCCUACGGGAGGCAGCAGUGGGGAAUAUUGCACAAUGGGGGAAACCCUGAUGCAGCGACGCCGAAUGAGUGAAGAAGUAUUUCGGUAUGUAAAGCUCUAUCAGCAGGGAAGAAAAUGACGGUACCUGAGUAAGAAGCCCCGGCUAACUACGUGCCAGCAGCCGCGGUAAUACGUAGGGGGCAAGCGUUAUCCGGAUUUACUGGGUGUAAAGGGAGCGCAGACGGCUCUGCAAGUCUGAAGUGAAAGCCCGCGGCUUAACCGCGGGACUGCUUUGGAAACUGCAGGGCUUGAGUAUCGGAGGGGCAGGCGGAAUUCCUAGUGUAGCGGUGAAAUGCGUAGAUAUUAGGAAGAACACCGGUGGCGAAGGCGGCCUGCUGGACGAAAACUGACGUUGAGGCUCGAAGGCGUGGGGAGCAAACAGGAUUAGAUACCCUGGUAGUCCACGCGGUAAACGAUGAAUACUAGGUGUUGGUGCCCGAAGGGCAUCGGUGCCGUCGCAAACGCAAUAAGUAUUCCACCUGGGGAGUACGUUCGCAAGAAUGAAACUCAAAGGAAUUGACGGGGACCCGCACAAGCAGUGGAGCAUGUGGUUUAAUUCGAAGCAACGCGAAGAACCUUACCAAAUCUUGACAUCCUUCUGACCGCACCGUAAUGGGUGCUUUCCUUCGGGACAGGAGUGACAGGUGGUGCAUGGUUGUCGUCAGCUCGUGUCGUGAGAUGUUGGGUUAAGUCCCGCAACGAGCGCAACCCCUAUUGUUAGUUGCCAUCAUUCAGUUGGGCACUCUAGCGAGACUGCCGGUAAUAAACCGGAGGAAGGUGGGGAUGACGUCAAAUCAUCAUGCCCCUUAUGACCUGGGCUACACACGUGCUACAAUGGCUGGUACAACGAGUCGCAAGCCGGUGACGGCAAGCUAAUCUCUUAAAGCCAGUCUCAGUUCGGAUUGUAGGCUGCAACUCGCCUACAUGAAGUCGGAAUCGCUAGUAAUCGCGGAUCAGCACGCCGCGGUGAAUAAGUUCCCGGGCCUUGUACACACCGCCCGUCA
rnacentral:rRNA from 1 species